UGCAAGUUGAGCGAGGCCGGUAGCAAUACCGAGUCGAGCGGCGAACGGGUGAGUAACGCGUGGAUAACCUGCCCUGAAGUGGGGAAUAACCCGGGGAAACUCGGGCUAAUACCGCAUGAUACCGAGAGGUCAAAGAGGGGUCGUAAGAUCUCUUGCUACAGGAGGGGUCCGCGUUCGAUUAGCUAGUUGGUAGGGUAAUGGCCUACCAGGCGACGAUCGAUAGCCGGCCUGAGAGGGUGAUCGGCCACACUGGAACUGAGGCACGGUCCAGACUCCUACGGGAGGCAGCAGUGGGGAAUUUUGCGCAAUGGGCUAACGCCUGACGCAGCAACGCCGCGUGGAGGAUGAAGGUCUUUGGAUUGUAAGCUCCUGUCAGCAGGGAAAAAGGGAUAGGACCUAAUACGUCUUAAACUUGAUUGUACCUGCAGAGGAAGCCCCGGCUAACUCUGUGCCAGCAGCCGCGGUAAUACAGAGGGGGCAAGCGUUAUUCGGAAUUAUUGGGCGUAAAGGGCGCGUAGGCGGCUUUUCAAGUGACGGGUGAAAUCCCUCGGCUUAACCGAGGAACUGCCUGUCAGACUGGAAGGCUUGAGACCGGGAGAGGUGAGUGGAAUUCCCAGUGUAGCGGUGAAAUGCGUAGAUAUUGGGAGGAACACCAGUGGCGAAGGCGGCUCACUGGACCGGAACUGACGCUGAGGCGCGAAAGCGUGGGGAGCAAACAGGAUUAGAUACCCUGGUAGUCCACGCCGUAAACGAUGAGUGCUUGGUGUAGCGGGUAUCGACCCCUGCCUGGGCCGAAGUCAACACAUUAAGCACUCCGCCUGGGGAGUACGGUCGCAAGACUGAAACUCAAAGGAAUUGACGGG
rnacentral:rRNA from 1 species